CCUCGGGAGGCUGCAGUGGGGAAUAUUGGACAAUGGGCGAAAGCCUGAUCCAGCCAUGCCGCGUGUGUGAAGAAGGCCUUCGGGUUGUAAAGCACUUUCAGUGGGGAAGAAAGCCUUGGGGCUAAUACCCUCGAGGAAGGACAUCACCCACAGAAGAAGCACCGGCUAACUCCGUGCCAGCAGCCGCGGUAAUACGGAGGGUGCGAGCGUUAAUCGGAAUUACUGGGCGUAAAGCGCGCGUAGGCGGUCUGAUAAGCCGGUUGUGAAAGCCCCGGGCGCAACCUGGGAACGGCAUCCGGAACUGUCAGGCUAGAGUGCAGGAGAGGAAGGUAGAAUUCCCGGUGUAGCGGUGAAAUGCGUAGAGAUCGGGAGGAAUACCAGUGGCGAAGGCGGCCUUCUGGACUGACACUGACGCUGAGGUGCGAAAGCGUGGGUAGCAAACAGGAUUAGAUACCCUUGUAGUC
rnacentral:rRNA from 1 species